ACAUAAAAUGAUAGCACAAAGUCAAAAGAGAAUUACAGUCUCAGUUGUUUAAAAAAGUAGACAUGACGCAGAUAAGAUAACAAAAUCCCAUCAAGAAGCUGUUAAGAAUCUCAUAUGGACCGGACAUGGCCAAUAUCAGACUGCUUCGAGUUAUCACUGGAAACUCUUUCUGACAUUUCAGUAGAGCAACAGAAGAAAAAUUGGAAAGUGAGCUUGGUGAUGUGUUUUCAGGUAACUGGAAAUGGUAGCCCCAGAAAUUUUCCACUGACGAUUCUGUUUCAUUGAAAUCCUCUAACGCACUCUCCAUCGCAUUAGAGAACUGGUUUAUCACUUCCAUAUUGAAGGUCAUUUCUUCAGAUGCUUUGGAAGACUUGAAGUGUUGCAGAAGUUCUCUUUUGAGAAGCAUAGCUAGACUACAGAUGAUAUGAAGCAGAAGCCGACUAAAUUAGCAGGCCGAGUCUAUUGUAACGCCCACAAAAUUAUGGAUAAGUGGAAAAGAAGAGAGGAUCAAAUCACACAAGACAUCUCAUGCAAACGCUAUGCGAUGGAAACUAGCUUAGCGAUUAACAACCACAGGCAAGGAACCACGACAUCACAUGAGAAAAGCUCACUGGAAGACAAGGAUGAUAGUUGGAGUGAUGUGACUUUAAAGGGUCAGAUGCCAGCGUUGGCACACUAAGAGAAAUAGAAGUUUCCGUCGAAAAAAAUCCUAUACAUGCACUUCGUCUUCACCAAGAGGAGGAGGCCAGAAUAGGCCAAAAUGGCCCAAAGAGGGCAAAAGAGGUCGGAAUGGACCAUAAGCAGAGUUCAAGCAAGAGAAGAAUCAUUCUCCUGUUUUCCCUCUAACUUGUAGUAAUUUUCAUUCUUCUUUCUCUCCGUCUUUUUAUGUCAUUGUAAUAUAUGUGAUGUUCAUAUUGUACAUUGGCCAAAGGCCUAUAUUCUUUAUACAUAUAUUGCAUGUUUACCCCUUGUCAA